rnacentral:piRNA from 1 species
UAAUAAAUAUUGCAGAUACAA